CUGCAUUCCUGACUUCUGAAAGAGUAGGGGGUGUGGAUUUCUACUAGGAGUAACCACUGGGAAGGAAGUAAUGUUCAUUAAGUGUGCAGGCAGUGCAGGACUAAGCAUGCUCAGUGAAAAAGCUUUUCUCCCUUGCCUGUCAAGCCCCGUGUUUGAACUCAUUCCAGAAUGCCGGAUUUACUUUUCAUGAAGAAGCAGUACCUGGCCAGACCGCAUUUUUCUCGCUCUCCUUGGUCAUGGGAAGAUUGGAAACAAUAUUCUUUUGAUGCUCAGUGCGCUCAGCCUGCGUGCGUGUGCGGCUGUUGCAGUGGAGGAGGAGGAGGACAAACUUUGCUACCUGUGAGACGAAGGCUGGUAGCACUGGAAAUGAAAAGAGUUCCAUUUACGAUGUUGUUCUCAGGCUCUGUAAAUGAAUGCCUUGAUGACUUCAUUGGGAAUUCCUCAUGGACAAGAAGGAGAAAGGGUCACCUGAGUUCUCCUGAAGAUGGGAGGCAGGGCCAGAGAGGCCCCAGCAACAUUCCUAAGGCACAGAAUGUCACCUGCUGCCUCUUCUCCUCCUACAGUUCCACACCAAGUUUCAGGUGAACGUUGGCUGAGAGAGAAGGAAUAAAGCAGUGUUUUCCAGCA
rnacentral:lncRNA from 1 species